rnacentral:rRNA from 1 species
UGGGGAAUAUUGCACAAUGGGCGCAAGCCUGAUGCAGCCAUGCCGCGUGUGUGAAGAAGGCCUUCGGGUUGUAAAGCACUUUCAGCGAGGAGGAAGGUGGUGGACUUAAUACGUUCAUCAAUUGACGUUACUCGCAGAAGAAGCACCGGCUAACUCCGUGCCAGCAGCCGCGGUANCGGAGGGUGCAAGCGUUAAUCGGAAUUACUGGGCGUAAAGCGCACGCAGGCGGUUUGUUAAGUCAGAUGUGAAAUCCCCGGGCUCAACCUGGGAACUGCAUUUGAAACUGGCAAGCUAGAGUCUCGUAGAGGGGGGUAGAAUUCAGGUGUAGCGGUGAAAUGCGUAGAGAUCUGGAGGAAUACCGGUGGCGAAGGCGGCCCCCUGGACGAAGACUGACGCUCAGGUGCGAAAGCGUGGGGAGCAAACAGGAUUAGAUACCCUGGUAGUCCACGCUGUAAACGAUGUCGAUUUGGAGGUUGUGCCCUUGAGGCGUGGCUUCCGGAGCUAACGCGUUAAAUCGACCGCCUGGGGAGUACGGCCGCAAGGUUAAAACUCAAAUGAAUUGACGGGGUCAUAGCU